rnacentral:SRP_RNA from 1 species
GCCGGGUGUGGUGGCGGGCACCUGUAAUCCCAGCUACCCAGGAGGCUGAGGCAGGAGAAUUGCUGGAACCCAGGGGGGAAGAGGCUGCAGUGAGCCGAGAUUGUGCCACUGCACUCCAGCCUGGGUGACAAAGCAAGACUCUGUCUCAA